UUGUCGGCGACCGGCGCACGGGUGAGUAACGCGUAUCCAACCUGCCCAUAACUAAGGGAUAACCCAGCGAAAGUUGGACUAAUACCUUAUGUAUUCGUUUGAUUUCAUGAGAUUACGAAUAAAGAUUUAUCGGUUAUGGAUGGGGAUGCGUCUGAUUAGCUUGUUGGCGGGGUAACGGCUCACCAAGGCAACGAUCAGUAGGGGUUCUGAGAGGAAGGUCCCCCACAUUGGAACUGAUACACGGUCCAAACUCCUACGGGAGGCAGCAGGC
rnacentral:rRNA from 1 species